CUCAACAGUGUUCCCAGCCAACAAGAGAGUGGUUUGCAGCAUAAUGAGCAGAUAUAUUAAUUUGGAGGCUAUGCAGUGGUAAACUGACUCAUGGAUAAAAUACAAUGUGGUCUUUGGGAAGAGGAUUCAUGUGCAAGAGAAGACAUUGGAUGAGAUUUGUAAUCUCAGCAUAAGAACCCUUCAGAACACCCCUCUGGAAAAAGAGGCAGAGUCUCACACAGAAGCCCCCAGAAUAGAGAUCUUUGCCACUAAGAAGCAUGAAGAUGUUCAUUUCAAUAACUAGGCUCCUGUCAUGUCACAAUGGAAUGGAUGCCUGGGAUCGUGUGGAUGCUUUGAGUCAUAAUGAAGGUCGUGUCUAACUUGUGUCAGCAGCAAAGUGGCAAAGAAUACAGAAAUACCCUCAUCAGAGGAUAUAGCAAAAGCAUCCUCAGAGUGGAAGGAACCAUUUUCCCAGAAACACCAGUCUUACUAAUUUCUAGUGCCCAGCGGCUUGUAAUCACAGUGAAUGAACAUGAAGUUUAAGAUGGUGUAGGUGUCAUUCAAAGAAUGCUGAAGAGUCAAGAUACAUUCUCAAUCAAAAUGCAAGCACAAACUGAACUAAUCUCUGAAGCCAUUGUAGUAUCCUCUUCUCUGCUAGAUGUCCAUCAAUAUCAUAAAUAUGGCUGCUCUGGACCUAUCUCAGUUUUGGAUCCUAUGAAAAUUAUUGAAAUAUAUAACCAUUCAAAAGAGAGAGUUGAACAUUAUGACAAGAAAGGAUGUUUCUGCUAUCUUGUUAAAGGUAGAUACAUUGUGUAUUUAUCAUUUUGUUACACAUAUGCUAGACACACACAAACAGGGAACAAAGAAUAAAAUUCUAUACAUCAAAAUAUUAGCUGGGGAUAUCUCUGAGUGCUAAGAUUACAGAAGAAUGAUAUUUUUCCUUAUGGUCAUCUUUAUUUCCACAGUGAAUGAAAACAAUGAAUGUCAUAGAUUCUAAAUUAAACCACAAGCAAUUCAACUUCAUAUAUAAAGGGCCCCCAAGGGGAUAGGAUCUAGAUUAGAAACAAACACAACAGAAAGUCCAUGUUACCAUUAUACGAUUUCAAAAAGAGUAACUUAGGUGUUUUCAUAAUGAUUUAGUGGUUCUAAAGCUGAAAACAAGUUAUGAUAGGUUCCAAAUUAGUUUAGUUUUCACGGAGACUUUCAGUGUUCCCAUUCACUGUUCCAAUGUGUGUUUUGCUCAUGUCUAAUACUAUUUUCAGAUGGUUUGGGAGGAGAAAACAAAGAUUUUGAAAGGCAGUGUCAUCACAUUUUAUAAUCAUAUUUGGAAAAUAGCAAUAUUUUAUUGUGCCCUUCUUUUAAUAUAUAUGUAGA
rnacentral:lncRNA from 1 species